CAAUAGCGUAUAUUUAAGUUGUUGCAGUUAAAAAGCUCGUAGUUGGAUUUCGGAUGGGAUUUGCCGGUCAGUCGUUACGAUGUGCACUGGCCAGUCCUAUCUUGUUGUCGGGGACUAGCUCCUUGGAUUCACUUCCUGGGACUAGGAGCUGACGAGGUUACUUUGAGUAAAUUAGAGUGUUCAAAGCAAGCCUACGCUCUGAAUACAUUAGCAUGGAAUAACACGAUAGGACUCUGGCUUAUCUUGUUGGUCUGUGAGACCAGAGUAAUGAUUAAGAGGGACAGUCGGGGACAUUCGUAUUUCAUUGUCAGAGGUGAAAUUCUUGGAUUUAUGAAAGACGAACUUCUGCGAAAGCAUUUGUCAAGGAUGUUUUCAUUAA
rnacentral:rRNA from 1 species